AUACUUAUCUGGUGCCAGGCCAUCGUUGAUCACAAGGGACGAGCCUCGAGGGCGAGGCGCGGGUAUUGCACUGCGCUCAGCUUGACCCCUGCUACUAUUCCAAAUUAAGGCAGAGGGCGCAUGCUAAUUGUUUCAAUACGGUACAACGCAAGCCAGGGCACGACCGCC
rnacentral:snRNA from 1 species